GGUGGAUACUGCUGCUGGGGCCAUCUAACUGGAACACGCUCACGAAAGCAUCACGAUGAAGAAUUUGAGUUUCAUCAAAGCUGACUGAGUUAGGCCAUGAUGAUUACUUCAAAAUGUCCUGGAGAAUUUAUCUGCCUCCCCCUACAAUGAACUGUGGUAGCAUUUGCCAAAAGAAGAUUCACCUAUUCCAGCCAGCAGAGACUUCAGACAUCAUUCACAGUAUGAUCACCCACUCCUCACCCACAGACACACGAGUGCAUGCCCAGCACAGGUUAACAGUGAGAGCUGAUACUCAGCACAAACUACAUCAUAUCUCAACCUCCCAACCAAAACAGAAGCAUGCCUUCAAUUUUGGCA